CGCUUGCGUGACGUAAGCCCUGCUCAGUAAGAAGGCUCCGCAGGUCGGCAGGUAGGAAGAGCACUACCUCGCACACUGCGCAUGCGCCACCUCGGGUGGCCUCAAGAGAACACCACCACUAAUGGGAAGACUGCCCCCUGACCGGCACAUGGCCUCAGCAUUCAUCCACAGAUGCUCCUCAAAUUGUUUUAAAAACAGCUUUUUUUAAAAGCUGUUUGUCUAUGAAGAUUAAAUGAGUUAAUAAUAUAAGCAAAGCACUUUGCAUGGCUACUGGGCACGGUGGUUCAUGCCUGUAAUUCCAGCACUUUGGGAGGCCGAAGCAGGUGGAUCACCUGAGGUCAGGAGUUCAAGACCAGCCUGAUCAACAUGGCGAAACCCUGUCUCUAUUAAAAAUACAAAAAAAAUAGCCGGGCAUGGUGGCACGUGCCUGUAAUCCCAGCUACUUGGGAGGCUAAGGCAGGAGAAUCGCUUGAACCUGGGAGGCAGAGGUUGCAGUGAGCCGAGACCUCGCCGUUGCACUCCAGCCUGGUUGACAGAGCAAGACUCUGUCUCAAAAAACAAAAAAACCCCAGCUUUUGUCCAGAGGUUGCUUUUUGUGGGUCUGUACGCUGAGGCCAAGUUCUAUGUAAGCAGAGCCCUCCCACCUCACCUCCAAACAAUGCCUCUAAACCAUCACAAUCUGAAAGGAAAAUAAAUCCCUUUCUUCAAUGGUGACCUGAAGCUAGCCAAGGACCGGGUGCUGGCAGGUGGCCUGCGAGACUGGGUCGGAUCCCGGGUUACUGUCUGAGGAGGGAUGCCGUGCUGUAAGGGUUGGGGAGCCAGUGUCUGGCUUCCUUGUCACCACAAGACCUGUGGUUUCCAGCUCUGUCUGCAUCCAGGUCCCACUAACCAACAGCAGGAGAGAAAACAGUUGUGCACACAGGCGGACGCGCACACGCGCACCUGGCCCCCCAGACGUGCACAGCCCUCAGAGGAAGUGGAGCACCAGAUGUUCUGGGUUUCCUGUUCGACGCUUCCACAGCUGGUCGAGUCUGUGGUUGUGGUUUGUCUGUCUCGGGCUCAUGUGAGAGACAAAAGCUGGGCUGACGGGAAACCUCUUCUCUCGGCCCCCACUCCCCAGCUCUGACUGAUUAGGAAACCUGGCAGGUCAGAAAUUUCCUGAAACACCCAGAGCUGGAUUCUCCCAAGAAGAAGCUGAACCCCCAACUCCCAUCCCUGAGGAGCAGCCCCUGGGCUGAUGAUCAGGACUUACAGAACCUGGGGCGAUGGAAACCUCUACAAAUAUCCCAUUUAGAAAGACCGCCAGCCCUGCCAACAGAAUGAAACGGAGGCCAGGUUGCUAUGGUCUCUACUCCAAUGCCUGACAUUGAGCCGCUGCUGCAAAACACUCAGCACAUGAAGGAAUGAAUGAGGAACAGAGAACUUCACCUUUGGGGGUUGGGUGUACAAGCCCCAACUGGGCCCCAAGUCCCAUAAAUAGCUUUGGAUUCCAACAUACAAGCAUUUGACGCAGCGAGGUGCUGCCGACUUGCUCUGUGACUUGGAGCAAGUCAUUUAGCCUCUCUGGGCCUGGUGUCCUCAUCUGCAGAAUGGAGAUGAUAAUAUCUACUUCACAAAGGUGUGAAGGCCCUGUGAGACACCGCAUGUGGAUUUCCUCGACAUUGUUUGCCCAUCGUAACUGCUCCAGAGAGGCUGGGCUCCCUUUUCUCGUUGCAACACUGCUGUUUAUUUCAGGAGAUACUCUAAAAGGGAAGCAAGCUAAAACAAAGAACAACCAAAAACACUGAUCCCGGGACAACUGCCCGGCAGGACAGCAGAGCAAGGGUACUUGGUGCUCUUCGUUGGGGGGAUGUUGGGAGAAGGGGCUGGAGCCAUCCCAGGGUCUCCAGGCUCUGGAAGGGAGCACCCCAUGUCCUCCUCUGGGUGUGGAAUAGGGUGAGUGUCUUAGGGGUGGAGAGAGAACAGGCAGAGUGUGCUCUCACCCCUUAGCUCUGUAGUGAUUUUAAUGAUUAAGGCUACUGUUCGGUCUGCAUUUGGACCUGAGCAACAGGGACCCCUGCCCAGAGGUCCAUCCUUCAGCAGCGUGCACUGCAUCCCCCUCCACUGCAGCUGACUCUAUGAGAUGAAGCAUCUGUCGCUCAGUGUAGCCAUCAGGUCCACUGCCCCUGAAAUAUGACUGACUAGGUUCAAAUGUUGACUCUGACACUUAGAAGCUGUGCCACCUUGGGGCAAGUUACUUCAUCUCUCUGUGCCUUACUUUCUUCCUUUAUAAAAUGGGUAAAAUAAUAACCACACCAUCGGUUGUCUAUGAAGAUUAAAUGAGUUGAUAAUAUAUGCAAAGCACUUAGCAUGGCUACUGGCACAAGGGUCAGUAAACGUUAACUGUUCCACACAUGAAUGUGUUUGAUUCUUAUAAUGCCCCAUGGGUAGAUUCUGUUAUUAGCUCUGUUUUACACAUGAGAAAACUUAGGCACAGGAGGUAAAGUAACAUUUGCAAGGUCACACCGUUAAGUAGCAAGGCUGAGGCUUUACUCCAGUUCUUUUUUUUUUUUUUUUUUUUGAGGCAUCUCACCAGGCUGGAGUGCAGUGGCACAAUCUCAGCUCACUGCAACCUCUGCCUCCCGGGCUCAAGCAAUUCUCCUGCCUCAGCCUCCCGAGUAGCUGGGAUUACAGGUGUGCACCACCAUGCCCGGCUAAUUUUUGUAUUUUUAGUAGAUACGGAGUUUCGUCAUGUUGGCCAGGCUGGUCUCGAACUCCUGACCUCAGG
rnacentral:lncRNA from 10 species